GAGAGUAAGAGAGGUAGUUGCAAAUUAAAUUUUCCCUAAAAGGUCUGUUUAGUUUGAGGAAAGUCCGGGCUCCCGAAAGAUCAGACUUGCUGGGUAACGCCCAGUGCGCGCGAGCGUGAGGAUAGUGCCACAGAAAAAUACCGCCGAAUUAUUCGGUAAGGGUGCAAAGGUGAUGGUAAGAGCUCACCAGCAAUAUCGAGAGGUAUUGGCUCGGUAAACCCCGGUGGGGAGCAAGGUCGGAGGAAUUACGGUUGAUCUUUUUCCGAUUCCGAUUUCGGUGUACCGCUUGAGGUGAUUAGUAAUAAUCAUCCCAGAUAGAUAACUACCCCUUAGAUUCUAUGAAUUUUGAGGAACAGAACCCGGCUUACUCCUUACUCUCAUUU
rnacentral:RNase_P_RNA from 2 species